rnacentral:rRNA from 1 species
AUCUAAGGCCAUGCCGCCCUGAAUGAGCCCAAUCUUGUCUGAUCUUGGAAGCUAAGCAGGGUCCGGCCUGGUUAGUACUUGGAUGGGAGACCAACUAGGAACACCAGAUGCUGUAGGGG